GCAUUUUAAUUUUUGCAUUUUAAUUUUUGCUUUAGAUUUUUGCGUCUUUGCUUUCAGUUUUUCAGUUUGCGUUUUUUUUGCUUUCAGUUAUUCCUUUCAGUUUGCGUUUUGCUUUCAGUUUUUUUUUAAAAUUUUUCGUUUUUUCUUGCUUUCAAUAACACACUCAUCCACAAUCUUCUUCUUGAUUUGCUUUACUCAAACUGAACAAACUAUGUUGAAUGAACUUUCUCUCCAUGGCCCCAUUGAUGUGAUGACUCUUUAAACCUAGGUUGAAUCAAUUGCAAUAAGAUGUAUUCAUGUUUGGGAAUUGCUUUUGAAUUGAAUCCUUGAGCUUGCCAUGGUGAAAAACAUACUGAUGACCCUCAACUGAUGAGAAUAAAUUGAAAUUGUGUGAAUGAACUUAAUGUGACUUGUUAGCAAUUGAUGUUGAUUUGCCCAAAUCAUUGAGAAAAGAAAUUCAGAAAAGGCCUAGACUUCAUAAGCACAAUGUGAAAACUGUUCCAA
rnacentral:lncRNA from 1 species